CUGUUUGUGAAUGAUUUGUUUUGGGGUUUUUUUGGGGGUGAAUAUAAAUGAUCAUAUAGACAUAGUAUUAUCAACCCUUGAAAGUUGAUUAUGGUAAGAAAUAUGAAGUGACCACAACCAUAGUCUAAUGCUCCAUUCAAGUGACUUCAACAUUUUCGAGUCAGAACAAAAACAUUUUAGAUUUCUCAACAUUAGUUUUCCAGUCCAAAAUGAAAUGUUACAGAAGAAUGUUUGUAUGUCAGUAAAGAAAGCAGCAUUUUAUUUAAGAGACCACUUUUCAGAAAAAAAAAAGAAAAAACAUAAUGAAGGUCAUUGGGUUUUGCUGUAAAAAAAAAAAAAAAUGAAACAAGUGCAACAGUCAAGGUCUCUAGAAGAACUGGAUCUGGUUCUGCAAGAUGCUCAGUAAAACCUACAGCUCAUUUCCUAUAAAACUGCACACAUUGUACCUACGACUACUAUUUUUUUAAGCAAAAGGUUGUCGCACCAAAUAUUUACUUUGUCUCAUUUAUUACCGUUUUCUGCUUUUUAUAGUAUUUUAUAUAUAUAUAUAUAUAUAUAUAUAUACACACAAACAUUUAAUUUCAUUAUUUUUGAUGGCAUGGUUCUCUACAGCAUUGGCACCCUGUCCAGGGUGUACCCCGCCUUGUGCCCCAUGCUCCCUGGGAUAGGCUCCAGGUUUCCCCAUGUCCCUGAAAUGGAUAAGCGGUAUAGAAGAUGGAUGGAUGGAUGGAUGGAUGGUUCUCUACAGCAUGUGCCUAAGACUUUUCCACAGUACUGUAUAUCUAGAGCUCAUAUGCUUGUAAUUAGCUGAUAUUCUAGCAGGCUUUAACUAGCUAUCAAAUAAAGUGCAAUGUUAUGUUUGGUUUUAUUUGACACCUAUUUUUGUACACUGUCCCAAACAAUACGUAAUGGAAGUCUUAUUCACAACAGUUACUUGUCAAAAACAACUAGGUCACGUGAGCAUUUAUGAUUCAGCCAGUAAGGGGUGAGCGGGCAGGUCAAACUGGUUAAGCAUUUACCCAGAUUAUUUCAUUAUAGGACAUAAGCUGACUUUCUUUUGUUUUUAUAAUUGUGUGUCGUCAGAGGCAGCUGUAACAUACGUC
ensembl:lncRNA